GGCUCACCUAGGCGACGAUCCCUAGCUGGUCUGAGAGGAUGACCAGCCACACUGGAACUGAGACACGGUCCAGACUCCUACGGGAGGCAGCAGUGGGGAAUAUUGCACAAUGGGCGCAAGCCUGAUGCAGCCAUGCCGCGUGUGUGAAGAAGGCCUUCGGGUUGUAAAGCACUUUCAGCGGGGAGGAAGGCGUUAAGGUUAAUAACCUUGGCGAUUGACGUUACCCGCAGAAGAAGCACCGGCUAACUCCGUGCCAGCAGCCGCGGUAAUACGGAGGGUGCAAGCGUUAAUCGGAAUUACUGGGCGUAAAGCGCACGCAGGCGGUCUGUCAAGUCGGAUGUGAAAUCCCCGGGCUCAACCUGGGAACUGCAUUCGAAACUGGCAGGCUAGAGUCUUGUAGAGGGGGGUAGAAUUCCAGGUGUAGCGGUGAAAUGCGUAGAGAUCUGGAGGAAUACCGGUGGCGAAGGCGGCCCCCUGGACAAAGACUGACGCUCAGGUGCGAAAGCGUGGGGAGCAAACAGGAUUAGAUACCCUGGUAGUCCACGCCGUAAACGAUGUCGAUUUGGAGGUUGUGCCCUUGAGGCGUGGCUUCCGGAGCUAACGCGUUAAAUCGACCGCCUGGGGAGUACGGCCGCAAGGUUAAAACUCAAAUGAAUUGACGGGGGCCCGCACAAGCGGUGGAGCAUGUGGUUUAAUUCGAUGCAACGCGAAGAACCUUACCUGGUCUUGACAUCCACAGAACUUUCCAGAGAUGGAUUGGUGCCUUCGGGAACUGUGAGACAGGUGCUGCAUGGCUGUCGUCAGCUCGUGUUGUGAAAUGUUGGGUUAAGUCCCGCAACGAGCGCAACCCUUAUCCUUUGUUGCCAGCGGUUCGGCCGGGAACUCAAAGGAGACUGCCAGUGAUAAACUGGAGGAAGGUGGGGAUGACGUCAAGUCAUCAUGGCCCUUACGACCAGGGCUACACACGUGCUACAAUGGCAUAUACAAAGAGAAGCGACCUCGCGAGAGCAAGCGGACCUCAUAAAGUAUGUCGUAGUCCGGAUUGGAGUCUGCAACUCGACUCCAUGAAGUCGGAAUCGCUAGUAAUCGUAGAUCAGAAUGCUACGGUGAAUACGUUCCCGGGCCUUGUACACACCGCCCGUCACACCAUGGGAGUGGGUUGCAAAAGAAGUAGGUAGCUUAACCUUCGGGAGGGCGCUUACCACUUUGUGAUUCAUGACUGGGGUGAAGUCGUAACAAGGUAACCGUAGGGGAACCUGCGGUUGGAUCACCUCCUUACCUUAAAGAA
rnacentral:rRNA from 1 species